CCUACGGGUGGCAGCAGUGAGGAAUAUUGGUCAAUGGCCGGAAGGCUGAACCAGCCAAGCCGCGUGAGGGAGGAAGGCGCAGAGCGUCGCAGACCUCUUUUGCCGGGGGACAAAAGGCCGGACUCGUCCGGUCCUGAGGGUACCCGGAGAAAAAGCAUCGGCUAACUCCGUGCCAGCAGCCGCGGUAAUACGGAGGGGGCAAGCGUUAUCCGGAUUUACUGGGUGUAAAGGGAGCGUAGACGGUGCGCCAAGUCUGGAGUGAAAUGCCGCAGCUUAACUGCGGAACUGCUUUGGAAACUGGCGAACUAGAGUGCGGGAGGGGUAAGCGGAAUUCCUAGUGUAGCGGUGAAAUGCGUAGAUAUUAGGAGGAACACCGGUGGCGAAGGCGGCUUACUGGACCGUAACUGACGUUGAGGCUCGAAAGCGUGGGGAGCAAACAGGAUUAGAUACCCUUGUAGUC
rnacentral:rRNA from 1 species